rnacentral:rRNA from 1 species
UACGAAGGGGGCUAGCGUUGCUCGGAAUCACUGGGCGUAAAGGGUGCAUAGGCGGGGCUUUAAGUCAGGGGGGAAAUCCUGGAGCUCAACUCCAGAACUGCCUUUGAUACUGAGGAUCUUGAGUUCGGGAGAGGUGAGUGGAACUGCGAGUGUAGAGGUGAAAUUCGUAGAUAUUCGCAAGAACACCAGUGGCGAAGGCGGCUCACUGGCCCGAUACUGACGCUGAGGCACGAAAGCGUGGGGAGCAAACAGG